CAAAGAACUCAAUGGGUUGGUUUCAUCAUCAUCAUAAGGCUUCAACACCACUUCAAUCGCUAAGUCCUUUAAAUUAGGAAUUCUUUUGAGAACUUCCAUUGUACAACUGUUUACACUCACACCAUAAAGUCUAAGGAGCUUGUUCAAGGUAACAUCAUCUGUGUUAGGGGUUGGUAGGUCCCUUCCCCAUAUCUCAAGAUGCUCUAAUUCUUCAAUAUCCCAAAUUUGCACAGGCACAAAAGACUGAACUCCGCGCUUUUUAAUGAUCAUAUGUUCAUGAAUAAUCAAGAAUUGAAGGUUAAAAAGGUUGGAUAUGGAAGGUGGGAGGUCCCCGUUGCAAGUUAGGGCAAGGUACCGCAGACAAACAAGUUUCAAAAUUUCAAUUGGGAUAUGGUAAAAUCGGACUUGAAAAGCAACAAGUACAUUGAGCAACUUGAAACCCAUGGCAUGUAUUGGGACUGGAUAUUGGUGAUAAGGACCGAAACAAAGGAGAGAACGAACAGUGGAUGCACAAUCACUUCUUAUCGAAUCACACACUUGUUUGAAGCAAAAUAAACUAUUCCAAUGGGCACACAAGCGACGCUGGCCUUUUAUAACGUCAUCACAACUUUGUAAGACAUGCAAAAACUUGAUCCUACUAGCUUCUACUCUACACACGUGCUGCCAACAAGAAUGCACACGAUAGUUUCUAUCCCAAAACACAUGUUCAUCCCCCUGUGAUGUAUCGAGAAGAAGAUGAUAAAACAUCGAAAGCUUUUCCAAACAUGUCUUAAAAAAAUGAUCAAAACUUUCUUCUCCACUCGGUUGAAGAAACACAUCAGCACUCAACAUAACAUUGAGCAUGGUUAUAUGGAUAUCCAAAUAUGGAGGGAAAUCCCCCAUAUAGAGAAAAAGCAUUUUUAACUGCUGGGAUAAAUAGUCAUAGCUUGGGAAAAGUACCUCUGAUAUUUGAUUAUAUGCAUCCACAAACACUGAACUAUGUUGUUUGAUGAGUAUCUCAGUCCAGUAUUCUGGGGUCUUGUCGGCUUCUGAUAGGAGCUUUGCAACCGUGACUAUCAUAAGAGGAAGACCUUCACAUUUCUUGGCAAUCUUCUCUCCAAGUUUCUCAAGUUGAAAAGGAAAACCCUCUUCACCAAACACUUUCUCACCAAGUAAUUCCUUACUUUCUUCGACAUUCAACAAGCGCACUUUUUGAUACCCACCCGUCGUGGAUACUAAAUUUAUUCUACUUGUAAGUAAGACUUGAAUCUUUCCACCUAUAUUCUCUUCUAGCAACCAAUUUGUCAAGCGAUCUGCUGCUUGUAUCUCCCAAACAUCAUCCAACACGAUGAGACAUCUCUCAUCCUUCAACUUUUCUUUCAAUUGUUCAACUAAUUUCUCCUCAUCAUCAUCUCCUUGGGUAAGCAGUUCGUAAGCGUUGGGAUCCACUUGAGCUCGAACGCAUCGUAAUAGUUCUUUAGAUUCACAUUUUCUGCCCACUUUCACCCAUGCUCGAAACUCAAAAUGGCUCCGAAUUGAUGGAUCUUCAAAAAUAUGCUUAGCAAGAGUUGUCUUUCCAACGCCCGCCAUCCCAAUAAUCGUAUAGCUUUUAUCUGCAAGAAGAACAUCUCUGGCUUUUUGAAAUUCAUAGAUAAUCCAACCAUCUUUGAUUGAUCCACCAAAAUCAAUUCUUGAGGAAAUAGGCCGCCUUCUUCUUCAGCCAUAUUCUCCAUUUCAUAGUGUAUUCCUCCUCCAUCACUUUAUCUUCUCGACGAAGCAAUCAACAUGGUGUUGCAGACUCUGCAGCUCUACAGGGAAUGACAAGCUGUCUCUCUGGCUUUCGAGUUGUGGAAGAAUCUGAUGUACGACAUGGGAUUCGAGUAAAUCUUCAAACUCCCAAACUACCUCUUUGAUUCGUUCAUCCACAGCAUUCACCUUCAUCCUGAUCUUGCUGCAGCUGGUGUCGUCCAAUUUUAGCAGAAUUCUCUGCAAGCGAUCCAUCUCUUUGUAGACAGGUUGUAAGAUGUGUGGAGAAAUGAGUGGAAUGCGAAACGAUUGUAGAAUACGGUGAAUCGUAUUCUUGAGAGAAGUGGCUGCACCAUAAGCCGCCUUACCCAAAUCAUCUGAGAAUACGAUUUGUGGAGAGGGGGAAGCUAUCAAAACGCAAAAAAAAACCGCAUUCUUGAGAAAAGUCGCUGCACCAUGAGCUGAGAAUACGAUUUGUGGAGAGGGCGAAACAAGGGAAAUGCGAGAUGAUUGUAGAAUACGGUGAAUCGUAUUCUUGAGAGAAGCUGCCGCAGCAAAAGCCGCCAUAUCCAAAUAAUCUGCUGAUCGUUGAAAUAAAAUUGCUUCCACAAACUUAGCUCAAAAAUUUUCCUCCAAAACUGUGCGGUAGAAAUCGCCUAAGAAAGAAACGGAGAAGAAGAAGAAGAAUUAUACUAAUAAGCAAAUGGAGAUGAAACAAAUUAAUGAUACAUCUUUAGCUCUCUGCUGUACCUCUCGUUGGCGCAAGUCGGCGGCGGCGGCAGCUCGUUUUGAUACUGUGAGUCUUAUUUGGCCCAAACCAUCACACCAAAGCCCCUCCUGACAGGCCCAUUCCUUGCCUUCUUAAGCUUCGUUGCCCUAAUUGCUAAGUGAUGGAAAAUGAGCAAAGAAGAGGCAGCUUGAGUUCAAAAUUGGGUGAACCUAUUUCUCUCAGUGAGAUAGAGUGAGAGAUGUGUAUGAUGCAAUGGUAAAAUGGAUGUAUUGAUGAUUUUCAAGGCAAAUUAAGGUGUGGAAGAAUAAUUAUAGGAGCGACAAACAAAUUAAGCAACGGAAGAUUAAUUAUGAAGAAGAUUGAGCAAUAUUCAAGCAGUUGAACAGUUGAUCAAACGUGUUACGAUUGGAUUCAUUCCUUUAGCUGUAUUGAUAUGAUAAGAUAAGAUAAGAUUGAGUCCCUUACUACGACGCCAUAAAUACAAGUCGUGCUUUGCUUUUGCAUGGGGAAUUAGGGCCACUCAUUUCAAUAUUAAACCUACUUUACAUAAAUAUAUUUCAACUCUAUUUUUUUAUAGCAGAAAGAGCGACGUUGUACAUCUUAUUUUAUUUGAUAAGAUAAAAAUAUAUAAAUAUAGUAUCUAUUAUAUUUAAUUUUCAAUUUUAACAAUUUUGAUCUAUUUGAUUCUACAACUAUAAUAAACUCUUUUUAAAAUAAUAAUCAAUAAAUUAAUAAACUCUAUAAAUUAAUAAAUUAAUAAAUUACUUAUGUUCUAACUUGGGUCAAUUCAAAAAAUCAUCAAUUUUAAUAAAACUUUCUCCGUCCGCCAAAAAGUAUGCCACUUUUGCAUUUUUAGCGUCCGUGAAUAGUAUGUUACUUCAUUUUUAGGUACAUUUUUUUAUCAUUUAUUUUAAAAUACCUUAUUAUUUACAAAAAUAAAUAAAUAAAUAAAAAAAUCAGCCUGUAUUCAAUCACAACCACUCAUAUCAUACAAUGGUGGGACAAUUUUUCUCCACUACAUAAAAAUCACCAAUCAUUUUAUUAAAAUCGGUGUCAACCAAAGUGACAUACUUUUUGUGGAUGAAAGGAGUAAUAAUAUUUUUUAGAGAACCCUUUGUAAACAUAUAGGUCCUGUUAAUAUUAUAAAUUAAUAACUUUUAAAAUAUUACAAUUAUGUAUAUUAUGGUAACUUGUUAAAAAUAAACCUAUUGUUGAAUCAUCUUAAUUAACUAAAUUAUUGGGCUGCCAACUUAAUUAACUAAUAUACUUUCUGCUUAAUUAUCCUUAUACAAUUGUGAUUGUCUGCUUAUACUUAAUUUUUGGGCUUAGGAUUUUGAGUUCGGCCCAUGUUUUUCCUUUUCUUUAGAAUUCUUUUUGGGCUUUUGGCACUUCGACCUUUUGUUAUUUGGAUCCUUUCUCGCCCCAUCUUUUUUUCUAUUUAAAGAAAAAAAAANUAUUAGCUUCUAAAUAAAUUCAAACUUGUAUAAUAAAAAACAAAUUGAACUGAAUUGCUUACCAAAUAUUAUAACAUUUGAAAACUGUUUGAUUGAAGGGGAAGAAUGGCAGGAGAAAAAAGAUGGUGAAAGAAAUAUGGUUCAAAGAAAAUUUGCGUGAAAGUAUAUUAUUUAUAAGUGAAUUGUGUAACUGUUGAAGACGUGUGUAAUUUAAAUAAAUUGACUGCUUUAUUUAUUUAUAUCUUUUAAGUUGGUCAUUGUUGUGGGUUGGUGGGAUACAUAUGUGAGUUAAAACUACCGUGACAUGAUGUGAGUUAAAUUUGCCGUUAAAUAAUUAUUAAGAUUUUGUUAAAAAUUUGGCGCUAAAUAUUUUUCUGUUAAACUGCUUCUUUAUAUGAGAUGGAAAUAUGAUAUAUUCAUUCAGAUUAAUUGCAGCAAACUCAUCUCUUCCACCAAUCUGUAAUCAACAUGCACUAUAAACACAGAUUAAGCAGUAUAGAAUAAUUCUUGCUUGCAAACUAAAACAUUCACAAACUAAGAACACAUAAAAUUCAUGCACAAAGCGAAAAUUAUGCAUAACACAGAAAAAUUACAGUCCUUGAAUAAGAGACUAAUGUUUUCACACAAAUCCAACUUACAACAAUUUUUGCUACAAACACAUUCAGCACUCAGUUUCAUAUAUAAUUCUCAACAAAUCACAAUCCUUAAAUCCAUACAACAAUGUGGUAAUACAACAAUUGAAUUCAAAUCAUGGGAUGACGCGGCGUCUGAUCCCUUCGGCUCUCUCAUUUGCCUGAAAAUUUAAAUAUAACAAAAACACAUCAAAAUUUAAAUAAAGCCUAUUGUGAUUUGUUGUGAGACAGAUCGAUAGACAUAGUAAUGGCAUAGGAAGCCAAAAUUGAUCUCAAAUGCAAAAAUAGAGUAAUGGCCAUAUGUAAUAAACAAGCUAGACAUUUUGCUAAUAUGAAUAUCAAUCUCUGAUAAAUGAAACAGAAAUAAGUUAACUCAACUGCUCUGCUCUGAUUCUAACACCUUGUUUGAUCCUCAUAUCAAAAUUUAUCUAUACAGCUGGUUUCUUGCUUUUGAGUCUUAACCAACUAAUUCCUAGUUGAUUUUGAAAUAUGGAGCCAGAAAUUAAUUAUUAUACUGCCGGAAUUUGAGAUUUUUAAGAUAUUUAAAAAACACAUCAACUGAUUACACACAAUUCAAACAAAUGAAAAUCAUGCAUAACAAGUAAUGCUUUCACACAAAUCCAACUUACAACAAUUUCGGUUACAAACUACAUACACAAUUCAUCACUCAGGUUUCAUAGUCCUCAACAAAAUCCAAAGCAAGUCACAAUCCUUAAAUUCAUACGAUAAUGUGGUAAUACAACAAUUGAUAGAGAUGUGACUAUAACAGAAGAUAUAUAUUUAUGACAUGAAUUGAUUUGGUUUGUCUGUGAAAAAAGAGAAGAAGCAGGGAAGAAACAUUAAGACGUGAUAUAUAUUGCAAAGUAGUGAGACUACCUGUCAGGCAAGUUGCAAAGUCACUUGAGCUCAAAAACGAAGAAUAGACCAUAAGUUUAUAGGCAAACUUAUGCUUUAAUUGAUGGGCACAAGCGAAAGCUAAAGGAUUGCACUCCACUAAUUCAAUGGUCGUGAUCGAAGACUGAUCAUCCGACAAAUCAAGUUGUUGCAAUUUGUAGCAGUGCUUCAUGAUUAGUCUACGAAGCCUCGGGAGGCUUCCACGUUGAGGUCUCCAUUGCACCAAAUCGGUGUCUUCAAUUCGAAGUUCAAUAAGAUUCAAAAAACUCCCCGGUUUUAUUUCCCACUCUGGGCCUCGAAAGGCAUAGCAUUUUAAUAUGAGAAGCUCGAGUUUUGGAAGCAGCGAACCAAUGUCAUUUAGAGACCCCCAAGGAUAUCCAACGCCACUCAAUUCUAAAACAGAGAGACUUGAUGGGAACACUGAAAGAUGAAUAAUAGUAGGAAACUCACGCUUUAUCUCGGGAUUCCUGAUUCUAUAUAUAAGUGAUCGCAAAUUCUGAAUUUCUGAUAUAUAACUCAAAGAACUCAAUGGGUUGGUUUCAUCAUCAUCAUAAGGCUUCAACUCCCCUUCAAUUCCUAAUAUUUGUAAAUUAGGAAUUCUUUUGACAACUUCCCAUGUACAACUGUUUGCACUCACACCAUAAAGUCUAAGGAGCUUGUUCAAGGUAACAUCAUCAGUGUUAGGGGUUGGUAGGUCCCUUCCCCAUAUCUCAAGAUGCUCUAAAUCUUCAAUAUCCCAAAUUUGCACAGGCAAAAAAGACUGAACUCCACGCUUUUUAAUUAUCAUAUGCCUUUCAAUAAUCAAGAAUUGAAGGUGAAAAAGGUUGGAUAUGGAAGCAGGGAGGUCACCGUUGUAAGUUAUGGCAAGAAAUCGUAGACAAACUAGUUUGAAAAUUUCAGUUGAGAUAUGGUAAAAUCGGACAUCAUCAGCAUAUAAUACCCUGAGCAACUUGAAUCCCAUGGCAUGUAUUGGGAUUGGAUAUGGGUGAUAAGGACCGUAAAAAAGGAGAGAACGGACAGUGGAUGCACAAUCACUUUUUAUCGAAUCACACACUUGUUUGAAGCAUAAUAAACUGUUCCAAUGGGCACACAACCGACGCUGGUCUUUUAUAACAUCAUCACAACUUUGUAAGACAUGCAGAAACUUGAUCCUACUAGCUUCUACCCUACACACGUGCUGCCAACAAGAAUGCACGUGAUAUUUUCUAUGCCAAAACCAAUAUUCAUCCUCCUGUGAUGUGUCGAGAACAAGAUGAUAACACAGCGAAAGAUUUUCCAAGCAUGUCUUCCAAAAAUUAUCAAAACUUUCUUCUCCACUCGGUUGAAGAAACACAUCAGCACUCAACAUAGCGUUGAGCAAGCUUAGGUUGAUAUCCAAAUAUGGACGGAAAGCUCCCAUGUAGAGAAAAAACAUUUUUAAAUAUUGGGGUAAGUAAUCAUAGCUUGGGAAAAGUACCUCUGAUAUUUGAUUAUAUGCAUCCACGAAGAUUGAACUGCGUUGUUUGACGACUACCUCAGUCCAGUAUUCCGGGGUCUUGUCGGCUUUUGAUAGGAGCUCUGCAACCGUGACUAUCAUAAGAGGAAGGCCUUCACAUUUCUUGGCAAUCUUCUCUCCCAGUUCCUCAAGUUGAUGAGGGAAACCCUCUUCACCAAACACCUUCUCACCAAGUAAUUCCUUACUUUCUUUCUCAUUCAACAAGCGCACUCUUUCGUACCCAUGCUGCGUGACUAUUAUAUCUUUUCUACUUGUAAGUAAGACUCGAAUAUUUCCAUCAAUAUUCUUUUCUAGUAAGAAAUUUGUGAUCAAGCGAUCUGUUGCUUGUCCCUCCCAAACAUCAUCCAACACGACGAGACAUUUCUUAUGCUUCAAUUUUUCUUUCAAUAGUCCAUCUAAUACCUCCUCAUCAUCAUCUCCUUGGGUAAGUGUUUGGUAAGCGUUGGGAUCCACUUGAGCUAGAACACAUCGUAAUAGUUCAUUAGAUUCACAUUUUCUGCCCACUUUCACCCAUGCUCGAAACUCAAAAUGGCUCCGAAUUGAUGGAUCUUCAAAAAUAUGUUUAGCAAGAGUUGUCUUUCCAACGCCCGCCAUCCCAAUAAUCGAAUAGUGUUUAUCUUCAAGAAGAUCAUCUCUGGCUUUUUGAAAUUCAUCAGAUAAUCCAAACAUCUUUGACUUGAUUCCACCAAAAUCACUUCUUGAGGAAAUAGGCUCGCCUUCUUCUUCAGCCAUAUUCUCCAUUUCAUAAGUGUAUUCCUCCUCCAUCAUCUUUAUCUUCUCGACGAAGCAAUCAACAUGGUGUUGCAGACUCUGCAGCUCUACAGGGAAUGACAAGUUGUCUCUCUCGCUUUCGAGUUGUGGAAGAAUCUGAUGUAAGACAUGGGAUUCGAGUAAAUCUUCAAACUCCCAAACUGCCUCUUUGAUUCGUUCAUCCACAGCGUUCACCUUCGUCCUGAUCUUGCUGCAGUCGGUAUCGUCCAAUUUUAGCAGAACUUUCUGCAAUCGAUCCAUCUCAUCGUCGGCAGGUUGUAAGAUUUGUGGAGAGUGGGAAACGAGAGAAAUGCGAGACGAUUGUAGAAGACGCUGAAUCGUAUUCUUGAGAGAAGCCGCCGCACCAUAAGCCGCCAUAUCCAAAUUAUCAGCUGAGAAUGCGAUUGUUGAAAUGAAAUUUGCUUAGCUCUGCAAAUUUCCUCCAAAAUGAAGCUUAAUGUCAACUGCAAUUAGCCCAGAACAAAAUCGUGUUGUAGAAAUUUCCUAAGAAAGAAACGGAGAAGAAGAAGGAAUUAUAAUAAGCAAAUGGAGAUGAAAUAAAUGAUAAAUCUCAGCCCUCUGCUUACCUCUCGGAGGAGUUGGCGCAAGUCGGCGGCGGCGGCAGCUGGUUUUGAUACAAUUUCAGAAAUAUUGAUACAAUCAAUGUUGAUUGAAGGGCAAGAAUUUUAGUAAAUGAUUUGAAGAUCUCUUGAUGAUUUUUUAGGCAAACGUGUGGAAGAAAGAACUGUGGCGCUGAGGAUAAGCUGAACCUUAUCCGAAAAUUCACAAGUCACAACCUUUCACUUCUAUAGUUCUAUUAGGAUAGAUUUUUUAUUUAUUUAUUUUUUUAAAUUUUUUUUUUUUUGUAGUGCAGGUAAACAGCACCUUGAAUAAUGACGGAUGAGCUUGACUCAAUACAACAAGUCGAGCCUCGAGUCAAUAAGGCCUGCGUCGAUUGAUUCGAGACAUUAAUUGACUCGAGUCAAGUCAUCGAGACAGCCGAUGUGUGUGCUCUUAUUUUGUACUCAAUUACAACGUGUUCAUUUUCUCUUAGUCGAUCUUUUCAAUAUAAUACUAAAAUGACGGCUACUCUAGAAAAUAGAAGUCAAUUCUUUUUCUCUUUGUUUCUUUUAAUUAUUGAUAAAAUAAUUUUAAGAUCGUAUAAUUUAUGAAUUUAAAUUUGAAAUAUUUAACUUCAAUGAUUAAUUAUUCUAUUUGUAUGUCUUAUUUGACCCAAUUCGUUGGUGGCCCAAACACACACACCAAAGGCCCAUCUGGCAGGCCCAUCCACGUUAUAACAAUAACAUAGAUGUUACGAACAGUUAUAGGUUUCAUUUAAUAAUAUAAAAAAUAGAAAAUAAACAUUAUGAGGUGAUCAUGUUUUUGUUUCUAACAUAAUUUCAAUGUUCUUCACUUUUCUAUUGAAUAGAAUAAACCAAAUCCAUAAUUGAUUCAACAUCUGCUAUUACACAUAAUAUCAUCUAAAAUGAAACAAAAAAGGAGUAAAACUCCAGCAAUUUAAUUUCUAUAAAUCCAACUACUCAACACACAAAAUCUACAUAACAAUCUCAAUCAUAUGCAAAAGGGAGGGGGAAAAACACAAUAAACAAGCCAGACAUUUCUGCUAAUCUGAAUUAUCAAUCUCUAAGAAAUUGAAACACAAAUAAGUUACAUAUACAAACUACAUACACAAUUCAGCUUUCAAGUUUCAAUAUAGAUGGACAACCUAAACACUGUGACUAUAACAUAAGAUAUAUAUUUCAAUAUUUAAAUAAAAUAAAAACACAUCAAAAUUUAAAAUGAAGCCUAUUGUGACAUGAAUUGACUUGGUUUGUCUAUGGAAAAAGAGAAGAAGCCUAUUGUGACAUCAAAAUUUAAGACUUGAUAAAUAUUGAAAAGUAGUAAGAUUAAGAAGUCCGACAAGUUGCAGAGUCACUUGAGCUCAAAAAGAAGAACGGAUGAUAAGUUUAAAGAAAAACUUAUCCUUUAAUUGAUUGGCGCAAGCCACAGCUAAAGGAUUACACUCCACUAAUUCAAUGCUCUUGAUGCAAGAGUGAUCAUCCGGCAAAUCGAGUUGUUGCAAUUUGUAGCAAUGCAUCAUGAUCAGUGUACGGAGCCUCGGGAGGCUUCCACGUUGAGGUCUCCAUUGCACCAAAUCGGUGUCUUCAAUUCGAAGCUCAACAAGUUUCAAAAAACUCCCCGGUGUUAUUUCCCAUUCUGGGCCUCGAAAUGCAUAGCAUCGUAAACUGAGAAUCUCGAGAUUUGGCAGCAGUGAACCAAUGUCAUUCAUAUACUUCCAAGGAUACCCCAUCCCACUCAAAACUAGCAUUGAGAGACUUGGUGGGAACAUUGAAAGAGGAACAAUAGUAAGAAACUCACGAUUUAUCUCGGGAUUCGUGAUUCUAUAUGUAAGUAUUUGCAAAUUCUGGAGCUGUGAUAUAUAACUCAAGGAGCUCAAUGGGUUGGUUUCAUCAUCAUCAUCAUAAGGAUUCAAAUCCACAACAAUUUCUAAUUCCUUUAAAUUAGGAAUUCUUUUGAGAGCUUCCCUUGUACAACUGUUUGCACUCACACCUAGAAGUGUGAUGAGUUUGUUCAAGGUAGCAUCGGAAUUAGGGGUUGGUAAGUCGCUUCCCAUGAUUUCAAUAUGCUCUAAUUCUAGCAUAUCCCAAAUUUGCAUAGGCAUAUAUGACUGAACUCCACGCUUUUUAAUGGUCAUAUGUUUAAAAAUAAUCAAGAAUUGAAGGUUAAAAAGGUUGGAUAUGGAAGGUGGGAGGUCCCCGUUGCAAGUUAGGGCAAGGUACCGCAGACAAACAAGUUUCAAAAUUUCAAUUGGGAUAUGGUAAAAUCGGACUUGAAAAGC
rnacentral:lncRNA from 1 species